UUUCUUUUUUCUUUUUUCCUCUUAUUCUUCUCUUCCUCUCGUAUUUUUUUCUUCUUCUUCUUCUUCUUCUUCUUCUUAUUGUUAUUCUUAUUUUCUUUUUUCUUUUUUCCUAUUAUUCUUCUUCUCCUUCUUCUUCUUUUCUUCUUCUCCUCCUCCUCCUCCUCUAGCUCUUCUUCUUUUUCUUCUCCUUUUUUCUUCUUCU
rnacentral:lncRNA from 1 species